rnacentral:rRNA from 1 species
GACGAACGCUGGCGGCGUGCUUAACACAUGCAAGUCGAACGAUGAACCACUUCGGUGGGGAUUAGUGGCGAACGGGUGAGUAACACGUGGGCAAUCUGCCCUCCACUCCGGGACAAGCCCUGGAAACGGGGUCUAAUACCGGAUAUCACUCCUGCCUGCAUGGGCGGGGGUUGAAAGCUCCGGCGGUGGAGGAUGAGCCCGCGGCCUAUCAGCUUGUUGGUGAGGUAAUGGCUCACCAAGGCGACGACGGGUAGCCGGCCUGAGAGGGCGACCGGCCACACUGGGACUGAGACACGGCCCAGACUCCUACGGGAGGCAGCAGUGGGGAAUAUUGCACAAUGGGCGCAAGCCUGAUGCAGCGACGCCGCGUGAGGGAUGACGGCCUUCGGGUUGUAAACCUCUUUCAGCAGGGAAGAAGCGCAAGUGACGGUACCUGCAGAAGAAGCGCCGGCUAACUACGUGCCAGCAGCCGCGGUAAUACGUAGGGCGCAAGCGUUGUCCGGAAUUAUUGGGCGUAAAGAGCUCGUAGGCGGCUUGUCACGUCGGGUGUGAAAGCCCGGGGCUUAACCCCGGGUCUGCAUUCGAUACGGGCAGGCUAGAGUGUGGUAGGGGAGAUCGGAAUUCCUGGUGUAGCGGUGAAAUGCGCAGAUAUCAGGAGGAACMCCGGUGGCGAAGGCGGAUCUCUGGGCCAUUACUGACGCUGAGGAGCGAAAGCGUGGGGAGCGAACAGGAUUAGAUACCCUGGUAGUCCACGCCGUAAACGGUGGGAACUAGGUGUUGGCGACA